rnacentral:rRNA from 1 species
GGGGGGGGGGGGGGGGGGGGGGGGGAGGGGCAGGUCGAAGGGUGGAGGGGGAGCUGGCUGUGCUGGAUGAGUGGCGAACGGGUGAGUAACAGGUGAGCAAUCUGCCCCUGACUCUGGGAUAAGCGCUGGAGACGGCGUCUAAUACUGGAUGCGAGCUGCGAAGGCAUCUUCAGCAGCUGGAACGAAUGUCGGUCAGGGAUGAGCUCGCGGCCUAUCAGCUUGUUGGUGAGGUAAUGGCUCACCAAGGCGUCGACGGGUAGCCGGACUGAGAGGGUGACCGGCCACACUGGGACUGAGACACGGCCCAGACUCCUACGGGAGGCAGCAGUGGGGAAUAUUGCACAAUGGGCGAAAGCCUGAUGCAGCAACGCCGCGUGAGGGACGACGGCCUUCGGGUUGUAAACCUCUUUUAGCAGGGAAGAAGCGAAAGUGACGGUACCUGCAGAAAAAGCGCCGGCUAACUACGUG